rnacentral:tRNA from 1 species
GGAAAUAGCUCAGUGGUGGAGCACACGCUUAGCAUGCCUAAGGUCCUGGAUUCAAUCCCCAGUAUUUCCA